GCGUGCUUGGGCGAGAGUAGUA
rnacentral:siRNA from 1 species